rnacentral:lncRNA from 1 species
UGUUUGUCCAUUUUUGUAAGUGUUUUUUUCACUCAAGCAGAACUUUAAUGUUCUAUAGUCAUUGCAUUUAUGAAGUGCAUAUAAAGGGACUGAUUGUAACUUUUGAGUCACUCUUUGUCUUCAGCUUCUCCAUCCGAAUUAAUGCAGACAGAACCACAUCCCUUACUGACACAAGACAAGAUACCUGUCACAGAUCAGUCUAUGAAUCUGGGGGUGUCCCUGGCUGUAGUUGUGCUGUUGUGUGGAAUUAUGACCGUCAUUUUUAUUCUGAUUAAGAAGAACAAUGCAAAGCGUUCAACAGGUACUUUAUAACGCACACACACACACACACACGUUUACAGAUCUGUUGUGAUUUUGUCUUAUUUGAACCUAAUCCAAAUCUGACCUCUUCAAUUCCAGACUUUUCUCAACCAAGGAUUUGCACACAGUCGGACAGGGAUACCUGUAUCUAUGAGGAAAUCACCCCAUCAGACACCUGUUCUUCAGCAAACACCACCCGUAGACCAGGCUUAGCCCUGAGCGACAGCACAGCAACGUACUCUACUCAGUCUGUCCUGAAACCUUCGGCACAGAGCCAAGUCCCGCAUCCUGAGUCCGUGGUUUACUCCGUUAUUACCAGACCCAAGAAGCUCCGAGAUGAUGCAACACCUCCCCCUUCAGCAGAACCAGCUUCCCUUUACUCAGCUGUGAACACUGUGCAGAGUUCAGUCAGAGAGAGCUCUGCCUGUGCUGGAAACUCGCGUGAUGUCUAUACCGUCAUCCAGUUACACUGUGACUAUGAAAGAUCUGCUAUUGGUCAGUAGAUGGCAUCAGUGAGCUAUGAUGAGACAGAUCCCCAUGAUUCAGGGCCUCUGUGACUCACAGUUUAACUCCUAAACAGACCUUGGCCUGUAUGGAGAAGCUGAAUGUUCACUCUGUAAUCUUAAUACUCUUAAUAAUUUUAGAUCAGUUUUAAGAACAAUCAACCCCAAAUUCUGCAUGAUUAAAAAAAACUAGUCAAUCGUAACAGAAUUAAAAGUUUGGAGGACAUGAAAAUAUUGAUUUUGAAAUGUUAGAAGUUCAGGGAAGUGCCAAUUUUAUGAUUUUUAUUCAUUAUAAUUUAAUUUUGGGGUAAUUAGAAAUAGUUGGAUUUCCCCCUCCAAAAAAAUAUCACUGAAAAAAAGCAGAAAUUGUUUCAGAAUAAACCCUUAUUUUGCACCCCCA